rnacentral:lncRNA from 1 species
UGCUAUAAUAUAUUAGAUAUCAUGCAAAUCCUUUCUAUACUAAUCUAAUGUAGAAUUUUACUCUCUCUAUUACAUUACUCUAUUUAUUUUUUAUUGUUUUCAUAUUUCAUCAUCAAAUUUUGUAUAAGAUAAGUUGAUUGAAGAAGUUUUAUUUAAUUAAUAAAAUUUCCUCUCUUUUUUUGUUUUGUUUGUCCACCACUUAGUAUAUUAUACGUAAAGGGGGUGGGGGUAAGGUAAAGGGUUUCUGAUACAUCUGGAAAAAUCGAAACCAAGACUAGGAAUUUUUAACAAACAGGAUCAAGAAUCAUUACUCUUUCGUUUCGACACAAGAAAAAAGGAUUUUUCUACACCCCUUUCUUGUGUCGAAGACUAGGAAGACAAAUAAUCCCUCCUAGAAUUUUUUGUUCCCCGCAUUUAUCCCCUGCUUCCUUAUGUCUAGUAUUUAGACAAAUUUGACUUUCUUUCUAUUUAGAAUAGAAAACUAUUGAUACGUCUUAUGGCAUUGAAAUCUGUCAAUAGUAACAUAGUCACACUACUCCAAUUUUAAAAAACGAAAUAAAAAUAAUGAAAGUCAAAUACUCUUCUUCAAAUUCUACAUUACAUACUCUUUUUCUACGAGAUGCUGGGAAUCCCUUGUACCACAUAGUAUGUAGAUUUUGAAGAAGAGUAUAAAUAAGACAAAGGAGUUUUCAGAAUUUCAUUUUUUUGAUCAUAAAUAAUCGCCAACAAGAAUUUGGUUCUUUUUACGAACUUGAUGUCGACAAAUCUGCGAAUCUAGAAAUUCAUUUCGGCCAAUUGAACCUUCUCGAACUGUUUCUUUUUAAGAACCAAAAAGAUUUGUGCCAAAAUAACAGAUGCCAAGAAGAACAAAAGUCCUUGGACACGUAAUGGAUCUUGAAGUACUAUUUCUGCAUCUCCCUGACCAAAUCCGCCUACAUUAGGAUUACUCGUUAAUGGUUGAUCAAAUUUGAUAGAUUCGCCCUCGGAAACAAGAAGUUCUGGUCCGGGAGGGAUAAUAUCAACCACUUGACGUCCAUCCGACGCAUCCGUUAUGGUUAUCUCAUACCCACCCUUUUCUUUUCGUAUGAUUUUGCUUACUAUNNNN